rnacentral:rRNA from 1 species
CCGGUGAACUUAAGCAUNUCAAUAAGCGGGGGAAAAGAAACUAACAAGGAUUCCCUUAGUAACUGCGAGUGAAGAGGGAAGAGCUCAAAUUUAAAAUCUGGCAGUGUUUUGCUGUCCGAGUUGUAAUCUAGAGAAGUGCUGCCCGUGCUGGACCAUGUACAAGUCUCCUGGAAUGGAGCGUCACAGAGGGUGAGAAUCCCGUCUUUGACAUGGACUACCAGUGCAUUUGUGGUGUGCUCUCAAAGAGUCGAGUUGUUUGGGAAUGCAGCUCUAAAUGGGUGGUAAACUCCAUCUAAAGCUAAAUAUUGGCGAGAGACCGAUAGCGAACAAGUACCGUGAGGGAAAGAUGAAAAGAACUUUGGAAAGAGAGUUAAACAGUAUGUGAAAUUGUUGAAAGGGAAACGCUUAAAGUCAGUCGUGUCGGCCAGGGAUCAACUCAGCUUUAUCUGCUGGGUGUACUUCCUGAUCUGAUGGGCCAACAUCAGUUUUGACUGCUGGAGAAGGGCAGAGGGAAUGUGGCACCUUCGGGUGUGUUAUAGCUCUCUGUCAGAUGCAGUGGUUGGGACUGAGGAAAGCAGCAUGCCGCAAGGCCGGGUCGUUUCGACCACGUUCAUUGCUGAGGAUGUUGGCAUAAUGGCUUUAAUCGACCCGUCUUGAAACACGGACCAAGGAGUCUAACAUGCCUGCGAGUGUUUGGGUGGCAAACCCGAGUGCGGAAUGAAAUGAAAGGUUGAGAUCCCUGUCAUGGGGAGCAUCGAUGCCCGGACCUGAGCUUUUAGCAAAGGAUCUGCGGUAGAACAUGUAUGUUAAGGACCCGAAGAUGGUGAACUAUGCCUGAAUAGGUGAACCAGAAGAAACUCUGGUGGAAGCCCGUACCAAUCCUGACGUGCAAAUCGACGUCGAAUUGGGUAUAGGGGCAAAAAAUAAUCGAACCAUCUAGUACUGGUCCUGCCGAAUUUCCUCAGGAUACC